rnacentral:sRNA from 1 species
CUUGGUCAUUUAGAGGAAGUAAAAGUCGUAACAAGGUCUCCGUAGGUGAACCUGCGGAGGGAUCAUUACAAGAACGCCCGGGCUUCGGCCUGGUUAUUCAUAACCCUUUGUUGUCCGACUCUGUUGCCUCCGGGGCGACCCUGCCUUCGGGCGGGGGCUCCGGGUGGACACUUCAAACUCUUGCGUAACUUUGCAGUCUGAGUAAACUUAAUUAAUAAAUUAAAACUUUUAACAACGGAUCUCUUGGUUCUGGCAUCGAUGAAGAACGCAGCGAAAUGCGAUAAGUAAUGUGAAUUGCAGAAUUCAGUGAAUCAUCGAAUCUUUGAACGCACAUUGCGCCCCCUGGUAUUCCGGGGGGCAUGCCUGUUCGAGCGUCAUUUCACCACUCAAGCCUCGCUUGGUAUUGGGCAACGCGGUCCGCCGCGUGCCUCAAAUCGUCCGGCUGGGUCUUCUGUCCCCUAAGCGUUGUGGAAACUAUUCGCUAAAGGGUGUUCGGGAGGCUACGCCGUAAAACAACCCCAUUUCUAAGGUUGACCUCGGAUCAGGUAGGGAUACCCGCUGAACUUAAGCAUAUCAAUAAGCGGAGGAAAAGAAACUAACAAGGAUUCCCCUAGUAACUGCGAGUGAAGAGGGAACAGCUCAAAUUUAAAAUCUGGCGGUCCUUGCGGCUGUCCGAGUUGUAAUUUAGAGAAGCGUCACCCGCGUUGGACCGUGUACAAGUCUCCUCGAACGGAGCAUCAUAGAGGGUGAGAAUCCCGUACAUGACACGGACUGCCAGGGCUUUGUGGUGCGCUCUCGACGAGUCGAGUUGUUUGGGAAU